rnacentral:tRNA from 1 species
CGGCUCGUCGUCCAGGGAACAGGACGCGGCUCUCCGAAAGCCGAAACGCCGGUUUGAUUCCGGCCGAGCCGACCA